rnacentral:rRNA from 1 species
UUGACAUGGGGGCACUUAUCUUAUGCGGUGAUGAAGAAGGCCUUCGGGUUGUAAAGCUCUUUUGUCAGGAAGAACACCGGCUCUAACACAGUCCGGGAAUGACGGUACCUGAAGAAUAGCACCGGCUAACUACGUGCCACAGCCGCGGUAAUAGUAGGGUGGAGCGUAAUCGGAAUUACUGGGCGUAAAGCGUGCGCAGGCGGUUAUACAAGACAGGCGUGAAAUCCCCGGGCUUAACCUGGGAAUGGCGCCUGUGACUGUAUAGCUAGAGUGUGUCAGAGGGGGGUAGAAUUCCACGUGUAGCAGUGAAAUGCGUAGAUAUGUGGAGGAAUACCAAUGGCGAAGGCAGCCCCCUGGGAUAACACUGACGCUCAUGCACGAAAGCGUGGGGAGCAAACAGGAUUAGAUACCCUGGUAGUCCACGCCCUAAACGAUGCUGACUAGUUGUUCGGGAUUUACAUCCUGAGUAACGUAGCUAACGCGUGAAGUCAGUCGACUGGGGAGUACGGUCGCAAGAUUAAAACUCAAAGGACUUGACGGGGACCCGNACAAGCGGUGGAUGAUGUGGAUUAAUUCGAUGCAACGCGAAAAACCUUAGCUACCCUUGACAUGUCACUAACGAAGUAGAGAUACAUUAGGUGCUCGUAAGAGAACG